ensembl:lincRNA Gm16188 predicted gene 16188
AGGCUCAGUCAUCUGCAAACACAGUGAUUGCUCUAUAUUAAAGCCAUUGCUGCCAGGCAGAGCUGGGCAUAGCAGCAAUCCAAAUCUGGGCCUAGAGCUCAGUGGUAGAGCGGAGCUCUCCGUGUGGAAGGAUCCAUACCAGCUACACUCUAAUAUUGGACAAAGGAAAGGAUAAGAUCCAGUCUGAACCAGAUUUCCCACCGCUGUGGUCCUAGUGAGACUCUACAAGCCAAGCUUUCUCGUUAAUGAAAGACCAAUGUUGUCUUUGCUUGGCAAGGGAAAGCCAGGGUGGCCUGUGAGUCUCCUCUGUCUGCCAGGCUGGAACCUGUUUUCCCUGGCUCUCUGAGAGUCCCCUGUUCCUGUUCGGAUUGUUUCUUAGAAGGAAAUCACCUCUAGAAUAAAGUCAAGUUUAAGAGUCCG